GUAGCCAAAGCCUAAGCAAGGGUAUGACAGCAACAAGUUGGAUUGAACCAGGAGGAUUUCUUGGCGAUGAGCUGCUAUCGUGGUGUCUUCGGCGCCCAUUUCUGGAGAGACUUCCAGCUUCAUCCGCUACAUUUGUUUGCAUUGAACCAACAGAAGCAUUUGCCCUGAAAGCAGACCAUCUGAAGUACAUAACCGAUCACUUCCGGUACAAAUUCGCGAACGAGAGACUGAAGAGAACUGCAAGAUAUUACUCCUCCAACUGGAGAACAUGGGCUGCUGUGAACAUACAAUUCGCGUGGCGUCGAUACCGAAAGAGGAUGAGACGGCCAGUGAUAGCCG
rnacentral:misc_RNA from 1 species